GAAAUGCGAUAAGUAAUGUGAAUUGCAGAAUUCAGUGAAUCAUCGAAUCUUUGAACGCACCUUGCGCUCCUUGGUAUUCCGAGGAGCAUGCCUGUUUGAGUGUCAUGAAAAUCUCAACUGCUUUUAGCAUUCGUGCUGAAAGUGAAGUUGGAGUUGGAGGAUAAUUGCUGGCGCAACCUGUUAAAAGGCUGCUUGUUGGCUCCUCUUGAAUGCAUGAGCUUUUCUGAUAGAUCAUGGCUUUAGCAACGCUAAUGUGAUAAUUAUCUGCAUUAGAUGUGAAAAGGCUGUGUGAGUGGAGGGUAACUUCAAUUAUUAUUGAAGGAGCGCUCUUACAGAAAAGAGUGAGACGGGAGGGGAUAUAUAUUGACACAUCUGACCUCAAAUCAGGUAGGACUACCCG
rnacentral:misc_RNA from 1 species